CCUACGGGAGGCAGCAGUGAGGAAUAUUGGACAAUGGGCGCAAGCCUGAUCCAGCCAUGCCGCGUGCAGGAAGACGGUCCUAUGGAUUGUAAACUGCUUUUAUACAGGAAGAAACACUCGGACGUGUCCGAACUUGACGGUACUGUAUGAAUAAGCAUCGGCUAACUCCGUGCCAGCAGCCGCGGUAAUA
rnacentral:rRNA from 1 species